CCUACGGGAGGCAGCAGUGAGGAAUAUUGGUCAAUGGGCGGGAGCCUGAACCAGCCAAGUCGCGUGAGGGAAGACGGUCCUAUGGAUUGUAAACCUCUUUAGGCGGGGAGCAAUGCCGGGCACGCGUGCCCGGAGGGAGAGUACCCGCAGAAUAAGCAUCGGCUAACUCCGUGCCAGCAGCCGCGGUAAUACGGAGGAUGCGAGCGUUAUCCGGAGUUAUUGGGUUAAGAGGGUGCGUAGGCGGAUUUUUAAGUCAGCGGUAAAAUGUCGGGGCUAAACCCGGGCCGGCAGUUGAAACUGGGGAGCUUGAGUGGGCGAGAAGGAUGCAGAAUGCGAGGUGUAGCGGUGAAAUGCAUAGAGA
rnacentral:rRNA from 1 species